UUUUGUCUGAAUGUCAAUAUUGAUUAAUUAAAAUGAAACUUUUAAUAUUUUUCUUAUGUAUUGUCAUCUUUUGCUCAGUAUUUAUCGAGGAAUGCUUAGGAAGCCCACGAAAGCAAUCAUGCAUCAAUGAUUGUAAUAAAUUGGCAACAAGGAAAAGGAGGAGGAGAUGCAGACGUCACUGUUAAUAAUGACACUGAAGAGUUUCGUCAACGAUAAAUUAUCAAUAUACUGACAUA